rnacentral:rRNA from 1 species
GCAGUCGAUUCGAUUUACCUUCGGGUAUUGAGGAUGGCGGACGGGUGAGUAACGCGUAAGGAACUUGCCUCUUGGUCUGGGACAACUGUUGGAAACGACAGCUAAUACCGGAUAUUAUGAGAUUCUCGCAUGGGAAACUUAUGAAAGCUAUAUGCGCCAAGAGAGAGCCUUGCGUUCCAUUAGCUAGUUGGUGGGGUAACGGCCCACCAAGGCGACGAUGGAUAGCCGGCCUGAGAGGGUGAACGGCCACAAGGGGACUGAGACACGGCCCUUACUCCUACGGGAGGCAGCAGUGGGGAAUAUUGGACAAUGGGCCACAAGCCUGAUCCAGCAAUUCUGUGUGCACGAUGAAGGUCUUCGGAUUGUAAAGUGCUUUCAGUUGGGAAGAAGAAAGUGACGGUACCAACAGAAGAAGCGACGGCUAAAUACGUGCCAGCAGCCGCGGUAAUACGUAUGUCGCAAGCGUUAUCCGGAUUUAUUGGGCGUAAAGCGCGUCUAGGCGGAAAAAUAAGUCUGAUGUUAAAAUGCGGGGCUCAACUCCGUAUUGCGUUGGAAACUGUUUUUCUAGAGUACUGGAGAGGUGGGCGGAACUACAAGUGUAGAGGUGAAAUUCGUAGAUAUUUGUAGGAAUGCCGAUGGAGAAGUCAGCUCACUGGACAGAUACUGACGCU